GGCCGAGUGGCGGAAUUGGCAGACGCAUCGGACUUAAAAUCCGGUGGGAGGUAACUCCCGUGCGGGUUCGAGUCCCGCCUCGGCUA
rnacentral:tRNA from 1 species